CAUCUCCAUGUACAAUACCACUAGGUGAUAACCCUAGUGAGCUUAUUAUGGGAGUCUACUAGAGAUGGAUCUUGUGCAUGACAAUAUAAAUGGUCAUACUUUCUGGAUAUAAGCAGUGCCUUGCGUUUCCGCUUUCGGUAAAUGUCAUAUAUGUGCUCUGACAAGUUGGGUUGGUGCAAAAAAUCGUCGAGUUCUGAUCUGAUUAGACACGAACAUAGGCUUAUGUGAAAGUUUAAUUUCACCAUAUCACUGGUUUUAUGUCUUCGAAACCUGUCCAAUAGGGGAUUCUCUGGGUACAUUUGUUACAUGCAUUUCGUUGUAGACGAAGGAGAUUUUUUUAGCAGAAUGUAAAUAGAAAGGGGAGCAAAUAUCGAAAAGUAACUCCAUUUUGUAUUUUUUUUUUCUCUUGUUCCGCAAUUGAAAGAUGAUCAGAAAGUAAUUGGUUCAUACAAUAAAUUUUGGCUACUACUGGACAUGUACAUUUCUUGA